UCCCCGAUGGUGUAGCGGUAACAUAACUGGUUUUCAAAGAAAACUCUAAGUGAUCUAUAUCACCCAGUAGCUCCGGGUUCAACUCCCGGUCGAGGAA
rfam:Exophiala mesophila strain CBS 40295 unplaced genomic scaffold supercont1.1, whole genome shotgun sequence.